GACGAACGCUGGCGGCGUGCUUAACACAUGCAAGUCAACGGAAAGGCCCUGCUUUUGUGGGGUGCUCGAGUGGCGAACGGGGGAGUAACACGUGAGUAACCUGCCCUUUACUUUGGGAUAACUUCAGGAAACUGGGGCUAAUACCGGAUAGGAGCUCCUUCUGCAUGGUGGGGGUUGGAAAGUUUCGGCGGGUGGGGAUGGACUCGCGGCUUAUCAGCUUGUUGGUGGGGUAGUGGCUUACCAAGGCUUUGACGGGUAGCCGGCCUGAGAGGGUGACCGGCCACAUUGGGACUGAGAUACGGCCCAGACUCCUACGGGAGGCAGCAGUGGGGAAUAUUGCACAAUGGGCGGAAGCCUGAUGCAGCAACGCCGCGUGCGGGAUGACGGCCUUCGGGUUGUAAACCGCUUUCGCCUGUGACGAAGCGUGAGUGACGGUAAUGGGUAAAGAAGCACCGGCUAACUACGUG
rnacentral:rRNA from 1 species